rnacentral:rRNA from 1 species
GACGAACGCUGGCGGCGUGCCUAAUACAUGCAAGUAGAACGCUGAAGAGAGGAGCUUGCUCUUCUUGGAUGAGUUGCGAACGGGUGAGUAACGCGUAGGUAACCUGCCUUGUAGCGGGGGAUAACUAUUGGAAACGAUAGCUAAUACCGCAUAACAAUGGAUGACACAUGUCAUUUAUUUGAAAGGGGCAAUUGCUCCACUACAAGAUGGACCUGCGUUGUAUUAGCUAGUAGGUGAGGUAAUGGCUCACCUAGGCGACGAUACAUAGCCGACCUGAGAGGGUGAUCGGCCGCACUGGGACGGAGACCCGGCCCAGACUCCUACGGGAGGCAGCAGUAGGGAAUCUUCGGCAAUGGGGGCAACCCUGACCGAGCAACGCCGCGUGAGUGAAGAAGGUUUUCGGAUCGUAAAGCUCUGUUGUAAGUCAAGAACGGGUGUGAGAGUGGAAAGUUCACACUGUGACGGUAGCUUACCAGAAAGGGACGGCUAACUACGUG